rnacentral:rRNA from 1 species
AUGACUGGAAGAGGCGGCACCACGACGGUUAAGGUGGUUUAUACCCAGCCGGGGAGGACGACCCCCUGCAAUGGGCACGGAAAGAUGUUGCAGCAGCGAACGAGGAGGCGGAGAUGCGCAAAGCAGAGUAGGAAAAACGUGCUCUGGUCCUCCUCCAAGCCCGCCGGCGACUCCCUAACAUGGAUGUUGAGGAAGAUGGUGAAUGGGCAGCUCCAACCAUAUGCAAAAGGAACAAUUUCAAAUCCUAAGUGCAAUUGUACGACUAGAAUGGAUGUGCCUGGCUUCCAUGUUGAAGUAGUAGGACUAUUUCCACAUAUGCGAGAGAAGAAUUAUGAUCAGAAUCAUUCUCGUGUAAUUUGUGCAGAGGUGAAGACUUUAAUUGGCCAUCCCACGGCCACGCCGUCGCCGCCUAGCAGGUUCCACCACCCUGCGCCUUCGCCGCCGCCGGCCACCCUCACAACCGCGCGCUGUCCGGCACCUCCUGUGCUCCCUCUUCCUUUUUUUCCUCUUUCCCGUGCAGAGCGGCAACAUUUUUUGCUGCAACCGGCCUUGGAUUUUUCUGGCACCGGCUACGCGGCGAGCUACAAGCACGGCGGCGACCUCAGGCCUGGUAACGACCUCCACCGUGCGGUGCUGGAAACCAACAACGAAAUGCUGGAACCGGCGGUGAAAAUGUUGCAGCCGGUCAUGCAGUUUGCUGGAACUGCUUGGCCGCCCAGCGCGAGCCGAGACUGGUGGCCAUCGUUUGCGGGGAACCUGUGCGACGAGUGUCGGUGGCGAGGGGCGGGAGUUCCAACCGACGACGACCUGCGGGACCAGCAGUGCGACGAGUUAGGCGAGCAACGAUGGUUUUUCGAGCUCGCCGACGGCGUGCUUCGAGCUUGCAACCGGUGGGGUUGGGCGCGGUCACCAAGGGGCACGCGAGGGUGCGCUAGCGGGGGAUCCCCUCCUCAAGCUGAGCCGGUCGUCGCCGCCACGCAUCAGGGACAAGCCAAUGCGGGGCACAUAGCUCCUUUGUUUCUGGUUGUGGUGUGGGGCUCUGGCGCAGAUCUAACGACCCUUAAUCAUUGUAUUGGAGCCGACCGACCCAAAUUUUGGCCGACGUGCCGGCACCUAAUAGUGCCGGGCUGGUGGGCGGCACCUCCAUCGCCGUCCAUACCGUUGUUGCUAUCAGAGUGGUCCUUCCACGGGCCGAAGGAGGGCAGGGAUGCGGAAGCCCUGCCCGUCCACGGCGUGGCACUCAUGGAGGAGCCGCUCGACUUCCUCCUACGUGGUUUGCAGGGCCUCCUCGGCGAACAUCGACCCUGUCCUAGGAACCCCGCGCUUGCCCUUGUCGGCAGUGUCGCGCAGGGAAUACUCCUCCCUGAUUUUGUUGACUCGCCAUCAAGAUUAGCAGCCACACACACCCCAAGCAAACUACGAAUCAUGCAUCACCUAGAUCAAGCCAAGCCAGUGGUCAUGAGCCAAAUUACAGAGCUAUCAAGCCACUUUACAACCAGUAAGAAGUCGGAAGGUGGACUCAGUGUGACUUGGUCGUCAACUCGUCUACGGGCACGGCCACGGGAGCAACAUGCCCUGCCCGACGCCAAAUUCGUGGCCGGAGCAAAACGACUGCCCCGACCGAUUCGUGUAGUCGUCGGUAGCAACCAAGGUCGUUGGACGGCAAUGCCGCGGAAGUCUUGGAAGCCGAGGGGAGGCCCUGGAUGUGUGGCGCCCGCGCCGGAGCUUCACUGGAAGGCCCUAAACCCUAACCCCAUCCCCGCGGAGGUCCCCGAGUGCUCCCGCUCCCGCGCCGCCGAGGUGUCCGACGACGACGCCUUUGUAGGCGUCCCCGUCGCCACCGCUGAGGAUGCUCUCGUGGAGGAAGAAAUAGCAGGAAAGCUGGCAGGGAUUGACAUGGAGUUGAGUCAGGAGGAGUUCCGCGCUAACCAUCAGAUGCAGGAGGACGAGGUUCAUGUACAUAUUGAGAUACCAGAUGAUGGUAUAGAUGUCUCAGCAAAGCUCGAUUAUGGUACUGAAACAUUAAAUUAUGGGGAAACAUGCAAUGGUGAUGCCUUGGAUAAUCUUGUUUACAAGUUUAGGGUUGAGCAUUUGCCUCCAAUCCUACUAACAUGCUACCUGCCUUCGUCUUACCCGAGUCAUCAACCUCCCUCUUUCACUAUCUCCACCGAAUGGCUGGAUACAGUGAAGAUUUCAUCAUUAUGUCAAAUGCUUGAGAUGAUUUGGGAAGAGCAACAGGGCAUGGAAGUAAUAUAUCAGUGGGUUCAGUGGCUCCAAAACUCUUUACUUUCUCACCUAGGGUUUACUGAUGAGAUAAUUUUAAGCAAGGGUGAUCUAACCUGUCAUGAAGAUGGUGGGGAUAAGCGUGCUUGUCGAGAUGAUUCUGCACCUGAUGUUAUAAUUACAAGGAUUAUGAGAUACGAUGAUGAUAAGCGCCAUGAAGCCUUCUUACAUGAUAUUCAUGGCUGCAUGAUAUGCUUCAGCGAGUUUCCUGCAUCGGUGCACAUUUACUUUUCUCUUUUCUAUUUACAUUUGCUGGAUGACUAUGAUGAAGAGGAUUUUGCAUUUCGACCAACUUUGGAACGCCUAAAAUCUAGGCAGGAACGCGGCGACCAGAAUUUGACAGAUGAAGUACUCAGCCUCCAGGCAAUUAUGAGGGAUGCAAAACAGUGCCCAGGAUGCAAGAUCGCUAUAUAUAAGAUAUCAGGAUGCAAUAAGAUGACGUGUUCGAACUGCGGGCAUUACUUCUGCUACCAAUGUAACUUUGCAAUUGUUGGAUAUGAACAUUUCAGACCGGGUGCAUGUGAUCUUUUUUCUCGGGAGGAAAUACGUAAAUGGGAAGCGCGGAUGAAUCCAGGGACGGGGCAUGUAGAGGACGCUCCAGCUCCUGCCCCAUUGCCUGAAGGACGAUAUCGUCACCCUUGUCCUACAUGUGGCAAAGGAACUCCAAAGCACAAACGCCUCAUGAUAUGUGUCUACUUUGGUCGCAGAUCGGAAACAAUAACCACAUCUCCUGUGGGUCAUGCCAAACAGGGUUCUGUGCAUUGUGCCGGAAGACUGUCCACAAAACUUCGCAGCAUUUUGGUCCCAGGGGAUGCAAGCAACACACUGCAGAUCACGACUGACACUGCGAUAUGCGCCAGAGGCCUGGGCUAUCCCCUUUUCGGGGGGAAAAACAGCCAUAUGCCCAGCACCUCAACGCAACUACAAUUUCCAAAGGUUCUGCUCAUGAUCUGCUUAUACAUAUACCGUGCCCAUAUCAGGAUACAGCCACGGAAUUUCCUGCAUUUUGCAGGGAGCUUGAUUUUCAAGUCCCCGGCUUCUUGUACCGUAGUAAAGAUCAACCGAGAAGUAGGAUAUUGCAAAGGACUAAUGAGGAAUUAUAUCAAGAAUGUCAAUUUCUUGUUACUUGUCAGGUUUUCCGUUGCUUUGUUUACCUACUUACGCCCCGUUUGUUUUGCGAUCGAGCGUGAGGACGCAGGGAAGCCGACCAAUCCUGGGUCAGCGUUCUUCGCCGACCCCCUCGCCUCCUUCAUCUUGUCUAGUUGUCUUUCCCACCAUCAUGUGUCUGUUUCCUUCUCCACUCCCGCUCCCUCCUUCUACCACCCGUGUCGCCUGUACUUCAUCCCCCCCGGUGCGCUUGUUGUCCCUCGUGUCAUGCAAAACAACGCUCACACAAACAGAUUAGGUUAUAUAGCCCACCGCCACCGAAGGACUCCGGUGAUAGCCGCCGGAGGAUUGGGUGGAACCCUAGGUCAGUGCCUCGCGCGCUGUCCCAUCAUCGUUCCACCGUUUCUCCGCGAUCAUCGGCUCGGCGGACCCGGCCCUCCCUUCCCAGCGUCACGCUCGCGGGCGCGUACACCGGCAGAAACAGCAACAGACGCCAACCCUGAUGCCCGCCGAUGCACACGUCCACACAUUCAAUUCAACAGCAAUUGUGCUCUACACACAUGCCGCACCGACCGGCUAAUCAAACGAUUCGCUUCCAGGAACAGCAACUGUCCUCUCUUCUCCGGGGGCAGUGGAUGCCGGUGGCAAUCAAGGAAAGGAGACGAGUUUAAUGGCGUCCGAUCUGCCUGUCAGGAGAGCCAGCGAGAGGGCUUGUACACGGAUGCACCGCCAUGA